rnacentral:rRNA from 1 species
ACACGUAGGGGCCUGACGUUGUUCGGAAUCAUUGGGCGUAAAGGGCGCGCAGGCGGCCGUCCAAGUCCGGUGUUAAAUGGUCGGGCUCAACCCGAUCAUGCGCUGGAAACUGGGCGGCUUGAGUCCCGUAGGGGAUGCCGGAAUUCCAGGUGUAGGGGUGAAAUCUGUAGAUAUCUGGAAGAACACCGAUGGCGAAGGCAGGCAUCUGGCCGGAGACUGACGCUGAGGCGCGAAGGCGCGGGGAGCGAACAGGUUUAGAUACCCUGGUAGUCCGCGCAGUAAACGAUGCGCACCAGGUGUCGGGCGGCAGCGCCCGGUACCGGAGCUAGCGCGAUGAGUGCGCCGCCUGGGGAGUAUGCCCGCAAGGGUGAAACUCAAAUGAAUUGACGGGG